CCUACGGGAGGCAGCAGUGAGGAAUAUUGGUCAAUGGGCGCGAGCCUGAACCAGCCAAGUCGCGUGAGGGAAGACGGCCCUAUGGGUUGUAAACCUCUUUUGUCGGGGAGCAAAAGACGCCACGCGUGGCGUUCCGCGAGUACCCGCAGAAAAAGCAUCGGCUAACUCCGUGCCAGCAGCCGCGGUAAUACGGAGGAUGCGCGCGUUAUCCGGAUUUAUUGGGUUUAAAGGGUGCGUAGGCGGAAGGUUAAGUCAGCGGUAAAAUUGAGGGGCUAAACCGCUUCGAGCCGUUGAAACUGGUGUUCUUGAGUGGGAGAGAAGUAUGCGGAAUGCGUGGUGUAGCGGUGAAAUGCAUAGAUAUCGCGCAGAACUCCGAUUGCGAAGGCAGCAUACCGGCGCUCAACUGACGCUGAGGCACGAAAGUGUGGGGAUCGAACAGGAUUAGAUACCCGAGUAGUC
rnacentral:rRNA from 1 species